AGAAAUAAUUAAGCGCAUUUAUCCCAAUCUGAGGCACAUAUCCUGAAUCGUCCAUUGACGUGUCAGUUUCUUACUUGCUAUGCUGCUUUAUUUAUUUAUUUAGUUAUUUGUUUCAUAUACUGCAUUGAUGAGGGAGGCCCCGUGUGCACAUAGAUGCCGGUCUGAAACAGGGGAAGCGAGAUUAGAGAAGCUAUCCGACCGAAUCCGCCGCCCUCGCUGUCGCCCUCCGCCGCAAAUGAGGCAGACGAGAAAGAAGCAAAGGGAGCUCUGGCCCAAGAUCGUCCUAAGGAAAUGGCUCAACAUCAGCUCCAGAGAAUCCGAUUUCAGCGCCGACGAAGGGGACACCACGGAGAGUGAGUUCGAGUAUGAAGAGAUGUGCGGUUGGGAGCGUCGACUGCGAGAUGAGGAGGCAAGAUUGGGCGGAUUUGGAGCCGAGAAAAACGGUAACAACGUGGAAGGCAUUCCUUACAGAUUACGAAGGCGAAAAUCUGAGACUCUUCGUGCACAAUAUAUUAAUACCAAAGAACUCAGGAUCUAUGUGGGGACAUGGAAUGUCGCAGGGAGACAUCCACCUGCUGACUUAAAUAUCAAAGAUUGGCUAGAUAUGGGGGAACCAGCUGAUAUAUAUGUGCUCGGCUUUCAGGAAAUUGUUCCACUAAAUGCUGGAAAUGUCCUGGGUGCGGAGGACAGCCGCCCCGUUCAGAGAUGGGAACAUAUAAUUCGUGAGACACUAAACAUGAUUCAGCCAGUUAAAGAGAAAUAUAAAUGUUACAGUGAUCCCUCUUCACCAUCAAGAUUCAAACAAUCAGAUGAUGUCAUAGAGGAUGAACUAUUGCUUGAGUCUGAUAGUGAAAGUGAUGAGGAAGUUCGACUUGAUGAACAGCCGAAUUUUCAGUCUAAUGAAAAUCAGAUUGAUGCAAGUGAAGAUGAUCCAAAAUGUAAUUUAGCAUCCCAGUCCCUUUUCGCUGCAGAUCAAUGUGCACAACGAGAAAAUAUUGACAAUCAAUCUUCCCUGUAUGUAUUUGAUAGAUACCAUAGUUCGAGUUUUAAGAAUCAUGGAGCAAGUUCAGAAGCCUUCACAAGUCAGCAAAAGAAGUUUACCAAAACAUUAAGCAGUUCAGAAAUGAUUGGUCUAAUUUGGCCAGAGCAGCCAUUGGAUCUGUUAUCCCAACACAAUAGGGAUACAUCAAAACCAAAAUCAUUAAACCCAGUAAAAUCUUUUAAAGCAUGCAAUUCAUUCAAUUCUCUACAUGGAGACCAUAAUGAUUCAUUUCUGACUCCUGAACUAGAUCUGGGAACUGUCGUGAAUAGAAAGAAAAGAUCAUCUUUUGUACGGAUCAUAAGCAAGCAAAUGGUUGGUAUUUUUCUUUCAGUCUGGGUCCGCAGAAGCCUGCGGAAGCACAUACAGAACUUGAAGGUAUCAACUGCUGGAGUAGGUGUCAUGGGCUACAUAGGCAACAAGGGAUCAAUAUCAGUCAGCUUGUCUAUAUAUCAGACACUUGUUUGCUUUAUAUGUAGUCACCUGACUUCUGGAGAAAAAGAUGGUGAUGAGCUGCUGAUGUGCGAGAAAUUCACAGAAAAACAUUAUUUAGUUCAGCUCCUGGUGUUGGAGUGGCAAAAACAAUCUUUGAUCAUGAAAGAAUUAUCUGGUUAGGUGAUCUAAAUUACCGCAUCAAUAUGUCAUAUGAUAGAGCUCACGAACUGAUUUCCAGAAAGGAAUGGUCUAAAUUAUUUGAGAAAGACCAGUUGAGACUCGAACUUAAGAAAGGCCAUGUAUUUGAUGGAUGGUCAGAGGGUGUUAUAAAUUUCCCUCCUACCUACAAAUAUGAGUUGAACUCAGAGAAGUACGUUGGGGAUGAUCCAAAAGGUGGAAGAAGAACUCCUGCUUGGUGUGACCGCAUUCUUUCAUAUGGUAAGGGCAUGAGGCUAUUAGAUUACAGAAGAGUCGAGCUAAAAUUUUCAGAUCACCGUCCUGUUGCAGCAAUAUUCAUGGCUGAGGUUGAGGUUUUCAGCCAUAGAAAGCUUCAGCGAGCUCUCACCUUCACAGAUGCAGAGGUUGAAGAACAACUAGUUUCAGAUGCUGAUAAUGGAGUUGCAAACUGCUUGUGGCUAGGACAGGAAAUAACAGAAUAACUCAGAUGGAAAGAUGCAGGCUGGUUCUCAAUAGGGUGGGUACGUAUUCAACUUGGCUGUUGUUUAUCUUUUUAGGGUUUUUUUCUUGUAGAUUCAGGGCAUUCAGAGUACAUAAACUGUCACUGUAAAUCCAUCUGCAAUGAGUGAAACUGAGAGGAGGUAAAAAUUUCAUGUCAUACCUUCUUUUACGAUCUCUAGAUGUCCUUCCCGCGGAGUUACUUGAGCAUAUGCUGUGCAUCAACAUUUCAUCAUUUCCUGCUACUUAAACCGCAGUCAUGGAUUUGCACAUUACCGUGGCUUGGUGCUUGGAGAAGCGAGAGGGGAUCAUUAGGUGCAAUAAUACUGUGCGUGGCUCAAUGGGGCUUGUUUUGGAUUGCUGGACAGUGUUUUGGCAGCAACGAGCUUAUUGCAGCAAGAGCAACUAUGGUCUAUGACUGUCCUUUUUAUAUAUCAGCACGUCUACCUGCUAUCGAAUAGCAAUCUUCUAGGAAACUUGCAUUUGGAAUUUCCAAGAUGUUCAUGAUCCAUCUUACGCACGACUGGGGGAGGUGACGGAUGGAAGUCACCUUGUGGCCUUGAUGACCUAGGGAGGAUUGUUGAUACCUCAAUGUCAUCAUUGCGUGAUCGAUCGAUAUUUUAUUCUUUGGAUGUUAGCAUUCACCACUAUAAUUAUAUCCUCCUAAUUUGACA